AGCAGCAGAACUGUUUGCACAGCAGAGAAACCGCUCCUGGUCACAUGCCUGUGAGGGCUAUAUAAUUCAACACCCGCAAAAUAAGACAAACUGCUUUAACCUACGGCAGAGCUGGUAAGUAGUGAGAAUAACAUCACUUUAUAUUGUGGUAACUGAGGUCUGCUUAGCAGAUGCACUGAUGACAGUGCUCCCCUUUAUACUGCAGGUGGAGACAGGCAGCUGGUGCCAUUACUGUGGAUGGUUUCUAUCUAACAAAGUGUUUUUGCCAGUGCAAGGACUCCCCCCCCCCCAGUGCAGUUCUCUCCCUGCCCCCAACCAAAUCUGUUCUGGGUUCCUCCUGCCCUCAACCUUCAGGAGCAGAUUUGGGGGAGGUGUUAACAGCAAAACCCUCAUGCACUUAAUUAUAUACCAUCCUGGGUUCUUAUUUAAAAAUAGCUCUCUGAACAUAGAAAACUAGGUCUCAGUGAGAAUGAUUCUAGGCUAGCUAUCCUUGACAUAUGCUAGUUUCUAUGUGAAUUUGUUUCCCCCCCCCUUGAUAAUUUAAACAUAAAGGCGCUCUCAGAUCAUCACAACCACCCACAGUGUCAACAGUCCAAUAAAGAACCUUUUGCCACUUCAUUUUCUCUUUAUACAGAUUAGGCUUUAAUGCAAUGGUAACACAUUCUUCGUUAAAGUCCAUUCCUUACUAUUUGUAAUUUCACAGACCAUCCACAGGGCAGAGGGGAGCUUUCUUCGCCAUUCUGGGCACACAAAUAUUUUUCAGUUCAGACUACCUCUUUUUACUUAUAAUUUAAUUACUUGGCUUGGCUGUUGUUUAAUUGAUCUUGUUAGAUUACGUUAGUCAGGGCCAGCAUGGAGUGAAGCUGAACAACACCUGAUUUAAGUCCUCUGUUUGGUAGCCUGGUUUCUCAAACUCACAAAGGAACAGAGAAACAGAGGCCUGGUUCCGUUGCUGUAGGUUUAGAUGUGAAUAAACCAUGGUUAGCAUAGUGUCCCCAUGUUCCCUCCUCUCCAUUCUCCAUCACUCUUGAUUUUAAAUGAACCACAGUUCUCUGUGAUAUCCACAUUGGCCUGCUUGCACACUAUGGUUAGUGACAACAAUCCGGGGCCAAAUUGUGGUUUCACAUCCUGCCUUAAUUUGAAACCAUAGUUUAAACAAACCACAGUUCCCUGAGUUUGCAUAGAAUGGGGAACUGUGAUCAGUUUAAAGCUAAAAGUGUAUGUUUUGAAUCUCCUAUGGCACGUGAAAGAGUAGAAAACUGAACAUGCAAACCUGGGUCUUUUGUUGUUGUUUAGUCGUUUAGUCGCCUCAUUUGUGUAGUUGGAGACCAUGGAUUCUCAUUAUGUCUGUUAAGUGUGUAUUAGCCAUUAUACCAAUAUUAAACCUCAUGGAUGUUUUUAUGCAUUUCCACCCCUUACCAGAAGAUCCCAGAGUGGGUUACAACCAUUUAAAAUUCAGAAUUAAAAACAGUUAAAACAGGUUACCGUCACAAGAAUAGGAUGGGUCCUGAAAACACACAACUUAAUGGGAGCAGGACUGUUUGAAGCUCUUAAAUAGUCAGAAGAAAAGAAUGUCAGCUAUAUCUGUUAGGCAAUUUGUCAUUUUUUCACAAAUGUUCAAUGAUAAUCAUGAAAAAGUGCGGAAAUGAAGCAUGUAAUAUCAGCAUAAAUAAAAUAUGUGUCAUUCUUACCUAGCCAUCUUACCUGCCCGUGAUCUUUAUACAGUAAUUCAAAGAUGAAAAAUAAUAUAUUUAAUAAAGUCUAUAGAUUUACAUUUUCUUGAACUUUGAUGGACAAAUGCAUUAUGAACCUUUUUCAUUUCUCCACAAAUCAGUUACAAAGUGUUUGACUUUUCUGACUUGACGAAAUUAGUCAGUUUGAUCAUGUUUACCAUAUCCCACACUUUAAUUAUCCAGUCUUCCACUGUAGGAAUCAUGUCCGUUUUCCAAUUAUGAAAAAAUUGUUAUAUGAGCCACAAUUAAUAAAUUGAUAACCAUUUCUUUAUCAUCUAUUAAAAUGAGUUCUGUAUUAUAUCCAAAUAAGAUAACCUGUGAACCUGUUUGGAGUAUAUAUCCUGUAAUGUCUAUUUCUUUUAUUGUGUUAUUCCAAAGUGUAUUUAUUUUAGGAUAUGUCCAGAAAGUAUGCUGUAUAACAGCAUUAUUAUUUUUGCAAUGCCAACCCUGUGUGUUUGCUCUCCUAUUUGCAUGAUUAAGUCAUUGUGGAGUCAAAUACCAUUGCAUGCUAAGUUUAUAAAAACUUACUUUAAAAUAAAUGCUGAUAGUUUGCUGAGGAAUAUUGAACCAGAGCCAGUUUCCAUAUAUCAGGGCCAACAUUUCUUUCCCAUUUAUAUUGAUAAGUGUUUUUCAUUGAUUCUAAAUUACUGAUCAUUUCACCUAUCUUGCAUAAUAAUAAUUGUGAUUUAUCUUCCAGCAUUAUAUAUUCAAAUUCUGAUAUUUCUUGAAGAAGGCCAUAUCUUGUAAUUAAACUAUGGGCAAUAUUUCAUUCCUGUAGAUAUUGGAAAAAAUUGCGGUCAUGCCUGUAAAAUUUCCUCAUUGAUUUUAUUAUAUAUUCUGAAAGAGCCAUCUUACUGUCAAUGCUCUAACAAACCAUAGUUUUUCCACAUAUUAAGAGUACUUAAUAGUCCUCUUCCCUGUAUCUCUUCCUUAUAAUAGAUGGCAGUUAAUGGUGAUAAACCUGGGCUCAGAUUUAAAAAAUAAUUAUUAUUAGGGCAAUGAUCAAUAAAUCAUUGUAUUCAGCCCAUGCUGAAGAAAUGGUACUCUUUCAGGGUUGAGAAAUGCCCCACCCCCCUUCUUGGAAGUCAUCCAGCAUUAAAGUUUGCCAUGGUGCAAGCCAAGCAUCCAGGGUGUUGCUAGGCAACCAGGAUGAGAGAUUCCAGGAAAAUGGAGGCCCCAAACUGAGCUAGGGGCAUGCCAUAGCUAAUCCUUCUCCAUAGACCCCUUAUGGGGGUCCCCUUUGCUAUGCUGAUGCCCUAUGCCAUGUCCACCCAAACUGAAGUCAGUCAUACCAAACGCCUAACACAAAUAAGCCUUACUUCGCUGAAGGAAAAAUACAAAUCACCCUGAAUCAAAGUGCUAAUUGAGGCUGGGAUGAACACAUUCCAGUGUUGUCAGCCAGGGACCUGAGUAGUUAAGUGAGGCUUUCAGCCAGUUUCAGAAGAUAUAAGCCCCCAUCAAUGUAUUUGCUAAUGAGCGCAAGGUUGCAGAUGUAGCACAAAGAAUCACUGCACAUCCAAACAAGAUCUAGGAUCAAGAUCAACAAACAGUCAUCAUAGGAAGGUGGUCAGACUAGGUACAACACAGCAAGGAAGCUGGAAUGAGGGGCUAGUAACCCAAGAAUAACAAGCCAGAACCCCUUGUUGUUUCUAGCAACUAGAAAGUUGAAGAGGGAAGACUUAUGUACUCUGGCCACCUAAACUGCACCCUGACCACAAAUGCUGACAUUGAAGGUGUCCAGGGUGGCUUAUUCAUUAGGAGACCGAUGACUCUGGGCGUGUGAUGAUACUGUAUCAUCACCCUUCAGCCUGAACCCAAAGCUUUUGGUAGCACCACUCUCAAAUCCUCCUCCUCCUCCUCUGAGAGUUCCAGGAGUUCCUCAUCAGAUACCAGCAUGAAGAGCCCCUAUGGGGCCUUCAGCACUGGAUUCAGGGGGCCUGCAUGCUUCUCAAGUUCCUUGGCCUAUGAGGUAUCUAGUUCAUCUUCUAAGCUCAGAGCCCCUUUGAUGCAGGACUGAGGGAUUGAGAAUGGCCAGGAAAACUCUGUUCCAUGCAUGGAUGUCCCAGUGUGUAUGCAUUAAAAGGUAAAGGACCCCUGACAGUUAAGUCCAGUCACGGACGACUCUGGGGUUGUGGCACUUAUCUCACUUUACUGGCCAAGGGAGCCGACGUUUGUCCACAGACAGUAUUUCUGGGUCAUGUGGCUAGCAUGACUAAGCUGCUUCUGGCGAAACCAGAGCAGCGCAUGGAAACACCGUUUACCUUCCUGCCAGGGCAGUACCUAUUUAUCUACUUGCAAUUUGACGAGCUUUCGAACUGCUAGGUUGGCAGGGGUUGGGACCGAGCAAUGGAAGCUUACCCCGUUGCGGGGAUUUGAACCGCCAACCUUCCGAUCGGCGAGCCCAAGGCUCAGUGGUUUACACCACAGCGCCACCCAUGUCCUUGUGUAUGCAUUAGUUGGGAUCAAUGAUUGUGGCAAAUUACAGGCAACACAUUGUCAACAUUAAAACUAGACAAGACUGAAUGACUACAGUCUUUGAAAGAAAAUGGUUUGCAUUCAUCAUGAUGUGGAAAGUGAUUGCAAUUUUUUUUAGAAUUACUUCUGGAGGUGUAUUUGUUUUCCUCCUUUCUGGCCACUGGUUUCUAAAAGAAUGAAGGGACUAUAACAAUGCUCCCUACAAAUCUUGAAAUACUAUUUUUGAAGGACAAAGGCUCCAUUGCAUCUUUUCACUAUUUAUUACUCUGUAAAGAUUUAGUGGUAAUAGGUUCCCAGAAUAUUGGAUUGAAAACAUUAAUUUUAAUGGUUAUAAAAAGAUUAGGUUUUUAUAAGCAAUGGCUUUUCCACCAACAUAUUAAUAGCACAAGCAUUCCCACCUCUUUACUGUCUUCAACUCCCCACCAAGGUCAAAGAUUACAUUUAAUUUAAUUUUGUUUUAAUUAUUACCAACUACUUCAUUCCCAAUUAAGUAAAUUGCUACAUGGGUUUCUUUUCAUCAUUACAGUGAUAGGAGACCUUUCUUUCACCCCUCUGGAAACAGUUCCUAUUAUGUAAAAAACAAUCAAACACUGGAAACAUGUUGCUUAAUUGCCGCAGAAUGGUGGAAGAACCUAACAGUACCAAAAAGAAAAAAGACACUGGUAUGAAAACAAAAGCAAAACACAGAGUGGGCGGGAGGGAGAUUGGAAGAAGAUGCAAAUUGUCAUAGGCAGGAAAGAUGAUUUAACUGUAUUUUGUCUCAAACCGUUCUGAAAGGUUUUACUUCUCAGCUGCUGUUUGUUGAGUCAGGGGCUGAGUUUGCACCAACAUGGCGCAGUCAUGCAAAAAUAAUCCAAUCAGACAAUCAAGUAUCAAGUUUCAGUUCUGAACAAGGUGCAGAAGGAAUUAGAUUAAAAAUGCCCUAAAUGAGAAGCAUUCCAAAGCCUUAGAAGCCUCCUUGAUAUACUAUUUUCAUGAAGGACACACUAUGUAAUUUCUGGGAAAAGAGACAUUAAUAUAGUUGCCUUGUUGGCACUAAUGUGUACAUUUCAUAUGAUCAGAAGGAUACCUGAUCCUGCCUGUGUUUCAUCAUGUGGAAGCCUAUAGGUGAGCAGCUGCUUUCUUAUAAACUUCUUCACUCUACUACAGAGGUGGGGAACCUCAGGCCAAGGAGUCAAAUGCAGACCUCCAGACUUCUCUUUCUGGCCCUCGGAACCUUUCCCAGGCUUUGAAAUACUACUUUUGCUUCAGCCUGGCUCUGGGUGUUUAUCAACAUGGUCUUCCCCCUGAUUUAUAUUAGUAUACAUUGUUAGAAACCAUUAAAUCUGUCACGUAUACAGUUUCAGUAUGCAGACUGUCUCGCCAGAGUAGUGCAUGGACUAGUUAUCUCCUGCUUGGACUACUGCAAUGUGCUCUACAUGGGGCUGCCUUUGAAGGUGACCCAAAACCACAACUAAUCCAGAAUGCAGCAGCUAGACUGGUGACUGGGAGAGUGGCUGCUGAGACCAUAUAACACUGGUCCUGAAAGGCCUACAUUGGCUCCCAGUACGUUUCUGAGCACAAUUCAAAGUGCGGGUGCUGACCUUUAAAGCCCUAAAUGGCCUCAGCCCAGUAUACCUGAAGGAGCGUCUCCACCCCCAUCAUUCAGCCUGGACAGGGAACCAGGCAGAGGGCCUUCUCGGUAGCAGUGCCCACCCUGUGGAAUGCCCUCCCAUCAGAUGUCAAGGAAAUAAACAACUACCUGACUUUUAGAAGACAUUUGAAGGCAGUCCUGUUUAGGGAAGUUUUUAAUGUUUAAUGUUUUAUUCUGUUUUUAAUAUUAUGUUGGGAGUCGCCCAGAGUGGCUGGGGAAACCCAGCCAAAUGGGCGGGGUAUGUAUAAAUAAAUAAAUAAAUAAAUUGCUUUGAAUCAUAAGCUAAUUUUGAAAUCAUGCCAAUAAAAUAUGCCACCGCCACCAUUGAGCAUCAGUUUCUUUUUCACAGUAUUUUGCUCCGAUUCAUUUUGUGGCAAAAUGAAAUGCUGGAUUUCCAAGUGAUUACUCGCAAGUGAGAAACGCCUUUCCUUACUCAAUCCCACAAAGUACCGACAGCUGAUGUAUGAAAGAUGCUCAGCAUCCUCAAUCCUAUUGAUAUGUCAGUUAAAUGUACAAAGCUCCAUGCAAGCAAAGAAGGCAACCAUUUGAUAAACACCCUUGUUUCGACCAGAAGCAGCUAUUAUUCCAGCAAGGACUUAGAUGUCAUCAUAAAGAGGCAAUGAAGUUUGAACAGUUUCAUUACCUGAGGGCAGACCUAUAGCUUGAAAAGGGAGUCUUUGACAUCGUUAUCAGUGAAAUACAGAUUCUGAAGUCUCCUGAGACAAAUAUGGAAGCAGCACAGCAGUUUGUAUCCAGAUUAGCCCUUGGGGCCGGCAGCCAGUGAACACAGGAGCUUAGGAAGCUGCUUCAUACUGAGUCAGAUCAUUGAUCAAUUGAGCUGAGUAUUGUCUACUACAAUGUAAAUGCUACAUUAACAGGCAGUGGUUUUCUGGGGUUUUCGAGAGGGGUCUCCCCAAGACCUGGAACCUUCCGCAUACAGAUAAAGUGUUCUACUAAUGAGAUACAGUCUUUCCCCCAAAGCCUUUUCCAUUUAUGGAAGAGGGAGAGGUUUCUUCUUCUUCUUCUUCUUCUUCUUCUUCUUCUUCUUCUUCUUCUUCUUCUUCCUAAUUUCUCAUUUUCUUUCAGUCUCCUGCACUACCUCCCAUACUGUUUCAGAAGGUUCCAUAACCCUCUGGAGCAGAUUUUUAGCGGUACAAGGAACUGCGCAGGUUGCGAAUCAUCUUGUGAGUGUUUUUCUCACAAGACCUCUGAAUCCAAGAUAUAUUUUUAAAGGUCUUGAUCCAGAGCAAAGUAUGAGAGACUCUUUGAUGGACAAUCAGUGAUCAUUGAAUCAAAUUCCGUUUCUAGCCCGCUUCUGUUUUCAUUUUGAAAGCAGUGGUUUUGUUCCUAGAAACUUAUUUUAGGUAGAUGCAAAAGUUUAGAUGUUGGUGUUUGGGGGGUUUCCACCCAUGCUUGACAGACUUUCUACUCUGUGGCUGCGCUCUAGCUUUUAAGACAGUAGAUGUUGCUGCUUCAGGAAGCAUCAUUUGCUGUGCUAUUUCCCCAUCUCCUUUGUCCCAAUAUUGCCUGUCAAACGGGGUUUGCAAGAUCUGAAGCACCACAAAGACCUAUAAGCAGAGGUGACAGUGGGCUGAGUUGUUUGCGCCAGGGCAACAAUGUCCCUGUCAUAUCGCCUACAGCUCUCUUGAAAACCCGAUCACCUGUCUUCAGCCUCAAGACUGAGCCUGCAUGAUUGCUAGCCUGUCAAGACACAAUGAAACACAAAAUGUGGAUGGCACCUGAAGAGAAGGGAGGAGGAUAGUAAUUCUGAUGUAUUACAGAUGACCUAGGAUUGAGCUCAUGGGUGGCAAGGCAUUGCAAGGGCCUUAAAACACUUGAGGCAUAGGCCCACGACACAACUUUGCAUAGCAUUCAGAUAUGCUAAUUUAUAUGUUAUAGGUGAAAAUUCAGGCUUAUGAAAGCUGCCCUGAAAGCAACUUUUUUUUAAUUUAAAAAGCAACAAGGAAACAGCAAGAGAUCCAAGGCCCAGUACAAAAAAACAAACAAAUGGAGGCUUUGAUGUCUAUCCCAUGUGUGAUUUUGAUCCAUUAAAUGGAGUAAGUGGUUUUCUAAUUAGAAGAAACUUCCCCUUCAGUGGGGAUUGUUUGUUUGUUUCUUGUCUGGAGGCUAGUUAUGUACAGACUGGUUCCGUUAAUUGGAACAGAGUCUUUUGUUUUUCAGGUCAGUCUUGGCUCUUCUUUCUAUAUAGCUAUGUUAGAUGAAAACCGUAUGUUGCUUUUAAUAGUGCACAACCCACGAUCAUUGUUUACACUUCAUGCUUUGGUAGAAACGUGACUGUACAACGUGGUAGCAAAGUCUAUGCACUGCAUUAUUCCAAUUCUGCAGCUGUAAGAUGAUUAAUAGUUCAUGGUAACGGCUGAUGGCAAUGUUCCUUUUCCCUACUUGCAUCAUUAAGUUGCCUGUGAAAUGUGGGGAGGAAAUAGACAAAGGUUGCAAUCCUAAGCACAUACCUAUUAGGAAUUAAGUACCGUUGAAUUCAGUGGGGCUUACUUCCAAGUAAGCAUCUUGAGGAUCAGGCUGGAAGUCUGACAUGACACAAAUGGUCACCCUGCUUUGAGGCCCCAAUCAAUUGUGCACAUCAGACUUGCAAAUGAUCAUUGCAGUGUUACAUAAAAUGUUGUAUUUGGCCACCUAUUCCUCAUUUCUUAAAGACGGUAGUUGGUUCCACUGCAAUCGGUGGCUAUGGACAGCAGAACAGGAUGCUGCCAAACAGUCCACAACUGGCCACCUUCCACUACAAAAAGGGAAUAUUCAUCAUUAAAUACUACACUUUAGUUAAAAUAAAUUUAAAAAUUGUCCAGUAGCACCUUAGAGACCAACUAAGUUGGUUCUGAGUAUAAGCUUUCGUGUGCAUGCACACUUCUUCAAACACACGAAAGCUUAUACCCAGAACAGACUUAGUUGGUCUCUAAGGUGCUACUGGACAAUUUUUUAAUUUAUUCACCUGCCUCAAACCAACAUGGCUACCUACCUGAAUCUACACUUUAGUUCCUUGUUCAAACAAGCACACAAAGAAAACUACAGACAAAGCUUGGUAGGAAAGUUUGACUUUGAAGGUCCUUUUAAGCAUCACAACGAUAAUCCAUAAUCACAUCAAAAUGGGAAGUCCCGGGACCAGAUUUAUGAUGUAUAAAAACAGUGUGGUGAUAAUGGCAUAGUGAAAUGGCAUACAUGAUGCACCAUUCUCUUGUGCUUUUUCCAGACCAAUGUGUCUAUCCCUUCAGAGCAUCCAGACUGUUACUCUUGAGUUUCCAUAACUGCAAAACCAACCCUUAAUUGGACCAGUUCUGGCUUGAUUAUUAUUAUUUUUGUCAGAGGAUGUGUCCCAUCAUUUCCAUCCAAUUAAACUAUCAGGCUUUAAGAUGAUUUCAUUGCAGUCGAAUGUACUGUGAAGGUUUACAUCUGAACACUUCAGUUUAACUCACUUAAACUAUCUUCUCUCAUACCAGAUUUUAUAAAUGUGUUUACCGUUGCUUAUGGUGACACUCUGAGACACCAUUAAUUUGCCUGUAGUUUCAGAAUGAUUUAGAAAUAUAUCGACAAAGCUAUCUGCGCUUGGAAAAAAAUUAAUUAUUAUGUAAUAUCCCUGAGCUCUUCAGAUGAAGGGCAGUAUACAAAUUUAAUUAACAAAUUAAAUACAGAGUGUGACUUGAUCAGGACCUUAAUAUCUAGAUAGAAAACAAUAUUUUCAGACCAAUAAGAUCCAUGAUAAAUAUAAAAUAAUAUUGUUAGAAGUUAAAGCCAUUUAGACUCGUUCUGUUUGAUAUCUUCUAUUAAGCUGCCUUUUAUAUUUCAUUCCUUUUAGCAAACAGCAACACUGACAUCCAGUGUCUAGUCAAAUUAAUAACAGUAGAAUAAUCCCUAUGGAUAUUCCAGAUACACAAUCCAUUUCUUUGUGUCUAGCUGGUAAUUCAAUGGUGAAAACAUUAAUGCCAUCCAUAUUUUAGAUGAUUUACUAUUUAGAUGAUUACUGAUCAAGGAGUUGGUUUGAUAUACAGAAAUAUAUUGAAUAAGCUAAAUCAGUGGUGUCACAAAAUUGAUUUCUCUGCCGCCUUUCCAAAUGAUCAGUCCAUUCCAUUGCCAAGCAAGUGUGAUGAUCUUUCUAAGAUAAGACAUACCAAAGUCACAGUUUCUUUUCAUUGACAUAGAAAAUAUAGAGGGCUUUUCAAAUUUCAGGGAUUUAUUAUUGUUCACAGAAACAUUAAUAUUAAUAUUAGUUCCAAUCCAAAUAUGAGCAUUUAAGGAAUGUCUUUUUGUUAAAGAUACCCCUUAUCAUAUUUCAAUUUGUCAUUAGCAGGUCAAACAAUGGCACAAGAAAUUCAGCUACUCAUUCCAGAUGUUUUGGAGCUUCUCAUGGUGCCCUCUUCUUCAUGGGAUAUGAUGUUAAAUCAGACAAGAGGAACCAUACAAAGGACAAGUGCAAAGGACCAUGUGGAUUACAGAAGAGGCAGCUGGCAAGAUGCUAUCAAGAUGUUCUGGACUUUAGGCCCCAUCAUCCCUGACAAUGGACCAUGCAAGUUGGGAAGGAUGGAAAUUGGAGUCCAACAUCAUUUGGAGUGCACCUUAUUGUGUAUCCAUGGAAUAUAGAGAGAAAGGAACUCAAGAGAGAAAAGCAAUGUGAGCAGGGUAUAUAAAAGCAGGGACAUCACUAUAGUGGCAAGAACAAAAUGUGUCUCUGGUUAAGAAAUGAAUAAAAUCACAAAGAUUUCAGGUUCAGUCCCUAGAAUCUCUAGGUAGAGCUGGGGAAAACUUCCUGCCUGGAACUCUGGGAACCUUGUGAGCUAGAUAGUCCAAUUUGGCUAAGACAGCUUCUUACGUUCUGUGUGAUUUAGUUCGGGGAAAUCUAUAUAAGAUUAUGAAAAUUUACAGACCACUAAAAUGGAAUGUAUCCUUAAACAUUUCUUGCCUUGUGGAAUAUCUUGUAUCUGUGUGUGCAACUAGAGUUAUUAUCAGCUACUGAAAGUGAUUGCUGUGCCACUGUUUGCAUCCUUGCGUCUGUCAUUUUUUAAAUAUUUGUGAUGAAAAAUAUUAUUUUUAAAAAACCUGCAUCACCCUCGCAAAUGCCUUUCAGCCUGGGAAAAUGCAAUUAUUAAUAUUCAAAACCCUUUCUGUUGGUUUUGCCAUAAAAUAUACAUUAUGGCAUAAUAAUAGAGUAAUAACCACAUGGUUUGCACUAAUAUUAAAUGCUAUAUUAGUGGAAUUUAGGCUACAUUUUCCACUGCCAUAAAUCAGUUUUGAAAGCAUCUGGGUAGGUCUGGAACUAUUGCUUUGUUGAGGUAUAACGUGUGUGGAUAGAUCUAUUAAAUGUACCACAGUUUCACUGCAUUUUAGUAUAUCUGCAAAAGCAUGCAUUUCUAGGCAGCCAUAUUUGAUAAAUGCCUAGUCAUCUUGUACAAAUGUGAUAGAAUAAACAUUAUUGCUUUUCAUUGAUUUUUUUUAACCAAAUGUCAUUAUGCAAAUGGAAGAGCUCCUUCAGUUUGCCAAAGGGACUCCAAACCAUUAGAGGCAUUCACUGGAGGAAGGUUUUCCCAAUCCCCAUGUUCCUUCUCUUGUUCCUGUGCCACCCUGCACAUUGUUAUGAAGGAUCUCUUAGUGUCCCAGAGCAGCUUUUCUGGAGGGCACAGAGUUUAAGCCAGUUGUUCCUCAGACGAAAGAAAUUCUUCCAUUAGCAGAAGUGAGUGGAAGCCUCAUUGGAAUAGUGUGGUUGGGAGGGGGGAUUCAUAGAAUCGUAGAAUUGUAGAGUUGGAAGGGACAUGAGAGGUCAUUUUGUCCAACCCCCUGUAAGGCAGGAAUCUCAGCUAAAGCAUCCAUGACAGAUGGCCAUCCAACCGCUGGUGCUGUUCUAAUGCGCUGGCAAGAGCACUGGAUUGGCUCUGCUGGCAUGUUUGCACUGCACUAGCCUCACCACUGCUGUUGUCCCUCUCCCUCUCUGUCCUGGUGUGCUGCAGUGAUUCAGCCAGGUGAGCAGCACGGCCACACCGUUCCAUCCACUGCUGGGUACAAUAUGUCCCAAUAUAUUUAUUCUCUGAGGUUGUGGGCUCCAGUUGCCCACUGACGUAUCCUCUCCAAAGGAGUGUUGGCUAGAUUCCCCAUCAGCCGAUGCAAAUGGAGAAGCCCUCACAUCCAGAAGCUUUAUUUGUGCAUCGAAGUGAAGACCAGUCUCUUUUUUGAUGUGACAUGGUGUCAUUCUCAUUCUUCUCGGUGUUGGAAUGGAUUUAUGCUCUGAAGAACAAAAUAUAUCAAAACUUAAAACGAAUGGAAAAUUCAGCCAAGGCACAUAUACAGCUGAGUGUUCUCUUGAGUUCAGGUUCAAAGGAUGAGCUUUUCGAGGAGACAAAAAUUAUUCUUCCAUCACCCAUCUGCAGGAUUGCCUUCUGAAACGUUUAGUCCAGAAAUAUAUCCAGUUUUGAUCUCUUACUUUUGGUUGAUGUUCUGGUAGAAAGCAAAGAGGGGAAAGCUAAUGACUCUGCAACAUUUGCUAUGACAAUCUUUUCCUUUAAAUCUAAACUUAAGAAACCAAUCAACACUGUAGGCUGCUUUGCUGCACUUGCUGCUUGUUUUAAGCUUUUAGCUUGCUUUGUUCUUUUUAGUAUAAUUCCAGGACACCAUCUCAUUCAAGAAUAAUAAUGUGCCACACGUGUUCCUAAAUUUCACUUGAACCAAACUCCAAUCUCCCCAAAAGCAGAGGGUUAAAUCAGCACAUCCCUAAAUUGAUUUGGUUCUUCCAUUUUCCCGGCCAGCAGUGUUCAGUAAUCUUGCUAUCCUCUGCUUUUAUAGGUCAGUGCAUGAGAAGCCAGAGCUGCCUCUCUCUGUGGCAAUGUUCCUAUUGGCCGAGCCGCUUGCCUUUUUAUAUCUGCUGUCAUUCUAGCCAUCUUCUCCUCGGAUAUCCAGCAAGGAUUCUAAUUAGUCACAAUUGUUUAGAGGCCAAUAACACAAUUCUUCGGCUGAUGAUGAUAAAAGAAAAAACAGCUCCGUUGACUUAAAUGAUACCAUUGUUCCUUAGACGAUGUCCUCGCCUUAUACGUCUGAAUGCCAGAUGGCUACUGAGAUAACACAGCUGAGGCCACGAACUGGAGAGGUACUGAAGCAAGUUUCAUAUGAGGGAAGAAUAAUGGAAGACAGACUUGCCAUAUAUCGCUUGAGUGGGCUUGGAGGAGGGUGUUUUGUGAGGAGGUCUGUCUCAACCAGAUUGUGCACUCUAUGCAUAUUCAAAUAAAAUAAAAAAUUUGUAGUGUUC